rnacentral:rRNA from 1 species
CAGCAGCCGCGGUAAUACGAAGGGUGCAAGCGUUACUCGGAAUUACUGGGCGUAAAGCGUGCGUAGGUGGUGGUUUAAGUCCGUUGUGAAAGCCCUGGGCUCAACCUGGGAAUUGCAGUGGAUACUGGGUCACUAGAGUGUGGUAGAGGAUAGUGGAAUUUCCGGUGUAGCAGUGAAAUGCGUAGAGAUCGGAAGGAACAUCUGUGGCGAAGGCGACUAUCUGGGCCAACACUGACACUGAGGCACGAAAGCGUGGGGAGCAAACAGGAUUAGAUAACCCGGUAGUCCCUGUCUCUUAUAC